AACCAGGACCAGCUGGAAGACUGUGCACAAGGAAACCUACAGCCAAGGCACCAAAAAAACGUAACAAAACUUUUGCUAACAGAGUCACAGUUGGAUCAGUCGGGUCCUGUUCUGCUGCUUUCUGCUUUGGGACUGAUUCAAGAGAAAAGAACAUUUUUAUUUUAUUGUUCCAUCGUGAUGAGCAGCAGACACUGAGGAUCCUCAUGAAGUCUUGAUGCAGGUCAG